rnacentral:lncRNA from 1 species
CACGGUAUUGUACGUGUUGUGGACUGUGGGCUGAAUUCGGCCUGCUAGAAUGAUUCAAGCAGCUCUUAACAGAUCCCUGGCACCUUUUUUCUGUUUCUCCUUCAGCACGUCAACAAAUUCAUCUGUCACAGGACCUGAAGGUUCACACCUCUACCUCCACAACAAAGUGAAGGACAGCCCUAUGCCAGGAGUGCAUGCAUGUAUCCACACACCUGGUGGAUGGCAUGCUGCUCUUGUGAUAUCACCAAAAUGACACUUUUCACACCACUGGCAACACUUACACCUGAAGAGACAUCCUUCCAGCCAUGUGGAGGGACAGGAUGGAUGAGCGUGUGCUUUGGAUGGACGAGCGUGUGCUCCAGGGAUAUAACAGCAACUCUGUUUUUAUUGGUAAGAAAACACCAUUACCAGGUAUCUCAUGGAUAAAGUUGCCUGCUUCCAAGAUCAAAGCUCUUAGGAACAGAAUCCAGAUGUCUGUGACUGCAUCUGGGCUGCAUUCCAGUCAUGCUGGUGCAUUCUGUAGAGAACAUGGACACUUCUUGACUGAGGUAAAAAAAGAACAGUAA